rnacentral:misc_RNA from 1 species
AAAGUCGUAACAAGGUUUCCGUAGGUGAACCUGCGGAAGGAUCAUUAGAGAUUCGCGACGUAAGUCGUAACCAUUUACAACACUGUGAACUGUUGGCUUCGGCCUAAUUCAAACUUGGUGUAUUGAACGUAUGAAUACUAUAAUUAAUAAAACUUUCAACAACGGAUCUCUUGGCUCUC